rnacentral:rRNA from 1 species
AGCGAACGCUGGCGGCGUGCCUAACACAUGCAAGUCGAACGUGAAAGGGAGCAAUCCCAAGUAAAGUGGCGUACGGGUGAGUAACACGUAGGUAAUCUACCCCAGAAUCUGGAAUAACCGGCCGAAAGGCUGGCUAAUACUGGAUAGAGCGACGGAAUCCGUAAUUGGGUUUUUCGGGAAAGGGAGCCUGUAAAAAGGCCUUCGUUCUGGGAUGAGCCUGCGUCCCAUCAGCUAGUUGGUGAGGUAAAAGCUUACCAAGGCAAUGACGGGUAGCUGGUCUGAGAGGACGGUCAGCCACACUGGAACUGAAACACGGUCCAGACUCCUACGGGGGGCAGCAGUGGGGAAUCUUGCGCAAUGGACGAAAGUCUGACGCAGCAACGCCGCGGGAGUGAAGAAGGCCUUCGGGUUGUAAAGCUCUGUCGAGUGGGACGAAAAUGCUUGGAGUUCACAGCUCCAGGAACUGACGGUACCACUAAAGGAAGCACCGGCUAACUCCGUG